GAAAACUCUAGAACAAAAAAGAAAACACAUUAAAAAUUUUUAUAUCCCAGUCAUUUGAAAAUGACCUGUCCCCAACCUUCCAUUUUCCUACUUGACGAUUCAGAUUCAUUGGAGAUAGGGCCUGAGGGUAGAUGAAAACGUUUCUGAUGAAGGGCCUCUCUACACCCUCCUUCUCUUCGAUCCUGCACUUCAUUUCAGUUUGGCUCUCUUGGUCUUUCCAGUUCCGAUUGGUAUUUGGCAUAACCAGGAACCUCACCAAAUUAUGCCAUGCAUUUGUUGGUAAUUGUUUUGGAGUCCCCUUCGACAAUAAUGUCUGUCAAGCCCAUGUCUUUCCCGUAAGAACAGCUUCAUAGCAGGCAAUAGUUUCCGCUUCAAAGGCCGUAGCCACCAUGAAAUGGAGGUACCUUCCAUUUGACAUUUUGCUGGGCAGCACUGACUUUUCUCUCAUUUAGUCCAUCGAUUUCGCCGAGGUAAUGCCUUACAUAUCUAGCUGCCUCUUUCUCUGUAUAAGACUUUCCUUUGUGUAAGUUCUUAUUUCUGUCCAACCAUAGCACCCAAAUACCACAGAUCACCAUUCGACGUUGUACUUCAGUACAUUUACUGAAAAUCCAAAUACUCCACAAAGACAUGCCAUAGAUUUUCAGCUCCAGCUCUACAUAUUGGACAUAUAGCAUUUGGGGCCAUUCUUCUUUGGUACAGAUUAGCCAUCGUAGAAAUGAAACUCCACGACAUUUUUCAUGCCAAUAUCUUUAUUCUGUUUGGAAGUUGGAGUUCUCACAGUUGUUUGUAAAAUGGUUGGGUUGUAAUUUGUGUAUCAGUAGGACUAGUAGUAGAGAUUUGGCUCUGUAGUAUUUUGUAAGCACUACGCACUGUAAAUUCUCCCGAGUGCUCCCCACGCCAGAAGAUCAAAUUCGGAUGUGCUUCUCUCACCAGUGGAAUUCGUAGGAUUCUAUCUGCAUCAUUAGUUUCGAAGGUAGUACGUAUCAAUUCUGUAACACCCCAAACCCGGCCUAGACGUUAUGACCGAAUCUGAUGCGCCACAUCGAAGCGUUCAAAACAUUCCGUAUUACUUAGUUGGAAAACUUAGUUGGUGUUGUAAAAGACACUUUUAAAAGUAGGUUAAAGUGAAUGGAAGCUAAGCACCAGGUAGGAAACCAGGAAGAAGAGGAGGUGAGUCCGUCGGAUUGCUUAAGUACCAAGCUCCCUUCGGAUCCAAUCCUAGACAUGCACAUCGCCAUUGCCACACUCUAACAUCUCGUAUAAUUUUGUGAAAACCGUUUGGUUAUGUCCAUCUUAAGAAAAUGAUUAAGGUUGAAAACGUUUGCUUGGCGGAAGUCUUACUUGUAUUCGUGUUAUUUUGAAAUCACUUAAUGUUUUUGAAAA